UGAAAAUUUGAACCAGACUGUCGAGUGGUUUAGGUAGUUUCAUGUUGUUGGGAUUACAUUCAAACUCUGCAACGUGAAACUGUCUUAAUUGCCCCAGUUUCAUUCCUCUGUAUAACCU
rnacentral:pre_miRNA from 8 species